ensembl:lncRNA
CUUGUGUUUGUGGGAGUUCUCACAUUUUCUACUAGCGAGCUUUUUACACAAUGACCUAAAACCCCUCUUAAUUGGCCACUGCCCAUAAAUCAGUAAAACUGCACAAUUUUGAGCAUUACUUUAGUCCAUUUAUUAAAAUUCCAAUUACACAGUUUGGAUAAGGGAGUAUUGUUAGGGAUUACUUUUAUUUGAGUCAGCAAUUUGCAUGAUGUCUGCUGGAAAAUCAACAGAGGGUAUCAGAUCACAUGAAUUGGUUUCUUAGAAAGGGCAGAAAUAUGUCCUUAUCAUGGUCAUUCCUGCCAUGAGUUCCUCUAGUCUCCAAACUUUGAAUUGGGGCCCUCUGUGAACUCUCUUUACUGUCUACUCUUUACUUAAGAUAGCUUGAAGCAUCCAUAUAACCAGGAAACUAAAGUCUGUAAGAGAACAAUGAACACACACAAGUAGGCUAUUACUCCAGAUCCUCCUUGAUUUUUCCUAACUUACUCCUGCUUUAGUGGAGUUAUUCAGAUGGUUUCAAAUCUAAACUUCAACUUUUUCCUCUAUGAUGUUGCAUUUGGAUUAAGACAAUCAGCUUUUUUCUUCUCAUAGAUGGCCUCGAAUCAUUUGGCUACAAUAGCUAUCUUUUGGGACUCUUCUUCCAGUCAUGGCCACAUUCUUCUUGCAGAUGAGCUGGUGGGUUACCACAAUACUGUCUGCUGACUGGUGCCUUUUAUUUGAUAUCUCAGGGCUUAUGAUACUCCAGAGUGCAUCCACCAUGUCACAGAAAAAUCCUGAAGGACAAGGAUUUCUCAGGCCCUUUACUCUUCUAGAUGCUUAGUGCUCUUCCAGAAUUUUCAAAGCUUCAAUACUGUCAUAAUACAUGAUCAUCACUGAUUUGUAUUUAUCCAUGAAUAAUGCAGAAAGCAUAAAUAAUCACGAUUUUAAUCAUUGAGAUAAUGCACCCUAGGCAUAGUCAAAAGGGCAACGAGUGCCAAACUCCUUUGACACAUUUGAGUAAGGAUUUAUAUAUUCAUAAUCACCAUCUACGUCUGUCAAGCUUCCAGUUUGCCAGUUAUUAAUAAUUGGAUGAAUGCUGAUGUACCGUUUAAACAAAAGCAAUUUCCUAGAAGACCCUCCCCAUUCCAGGAGAUGCAGUGAGGUACUAGCAGUGAUAUAUGCCUCUACUAAUAUCUCCUCUGUCCACUGCUGCUCUAACAGGAAAGCAGGAGAAGAGGCUGGGUGACUCAGUUUUCUCAUGUGAUGUAUUAAGCCUCAUUCCAGGCUACAGGUUUCUAACGACCCACAUGUAAGUCAGCUGAAUAAGAAAAUUCUUAUGUUCACACUCCUUUCAGCCACUGAUAUUUUUAAGUCAAAAAAGCAAAGAUGGAGCACUUAACUAUCAUUUCUUCUUGUGGCUAAGAUUACUGUUUACAAACGGGAAAUGUUCAAUUUCUCUGACUACUGAAACAGAAAGUUACAAAGUUUGACAGGUGGAGCUUCAAAAUUGUUUCAUAAAUACAUAACUUCUUUCUCCUUAGAAGUUAGCAGAGGGUGACAGGGACAUCAGCAAGCAAGACAAUGAUAGCUGCAUUUCUGAAGACUGCUGUGGAAGAAGUAUCCAGUGAGGCUCAAGCCAAAGAAAUCCACCAAAGAUUUCUGCUUCCUCUAUACCCAGAUGCUUUAAGUAAUCUCAGCUGUACUGAAGGUUAUCAAGACCAGAAAAGCAAGAAAAGAGUAGUCACUUUUAAUUUAAAUCUGGAAGGUGAAGUGAAGAACCCUCCUAUCAAUCAAUUAAGUGAUGUUGACAUUGAUUUUGUAAAAGCUGAGAUUUUCAUUUCAACAAUAGAUUCAGUAGAAAUACCCCACAAUAUAUGUGCUUUAUAUCUGAGUUGUAGGUUAAGUUGCUUUCUUUUUAAAACAUUUCUUCUUGUACUGUUCUGUAUUUUUUAAAAAAACUACAAUUUGCAUCUCUAACAUCCAUAAAGCAAAUACAUAAAAUUUCUUUUUUAAAGGGCACUGUCUGCCAAAGUGUGAGAUAUGGCCUUUUUAAUUCAGAAGUGAGCUAUUUGAUAAUGGUUGAUUUGUGCAUGUGAGGCACACCGGG